UCGGGAAUUUUGGGCAAUGGGCGAAAGCCUGACCCAGCAACGCCGCGUGAAGGAUGAAGUAUUUCGGUAUGUAAACUUCGAAAGAAUAGGAAGAAUAAAUGACGGUACUAUUUAUAAGGUCCGGCUAACUACGUGCCAGCAGCCGCGGUAAUACGUAGGGACCAAGCGUUGUUCGGAUUUACUGGGCGUAAAGGGCGCGUAGGCGGCAAUUCAAGUCAUCUGUGAAACCUCCGGGCUUAACUCGGAACGGUCAGAUGAUACUGCUUUGCUAGAGUGCAGAAGGGGCAAUCGGAAUUCUUGGUGUAGCGGUGAAAUGCGUAGAUAUCAAGAGGAACACCUGAGGCGAAGGCGGGUUGCUGGGCUGAUACUGACGCUGAGGCGCGAAAGCUAGGGUAGCAAACGGGAUUAGAUACCCUAGUAGUCCCUGAGCGGGCUGGCAAGGCGCAU
rnacentral:rRNA from 1 species